AAAAGUUUGCUGACCUCCUGAAAGACCCUUAUGCUACUCAGGGACUCCGUUUGACUGUCUCACCUGUGAAUUUCUCCGUGAUGGAUUCUAGUCCAGCAUCUGUUUCCCAAAAUACCUUUUACCAGCUGCGUGUGGAAAGGAGAGUAUUUGAACUGUGCCUACCAUGACUCAAGAAGUGAGCUUUAAGUUUUAUUGAAUUAAGAUUUGCCAGAAGUUAAUCUUCUCAAGAGGAAAUCAAGAAUGGCUCCCUGCAGGUAAUUCAGUGUGUGGAGCAGAAGUGAAAAGAUGAGUUGAAAUGAAGCACAAAAUAAGAAACCGUGGAUUCCUGAAAACCAAGCCUCAGGUAUUCUGGCUCCGACAGGGUCUUCCUCCCCUCAGCUCUCCGGAAAAUUUCAUAUUCUGGGCACCUCCUCUUUGGACAAGGGCGUCUUGUGUCUUCCAGUCCAGCUGGAGAGCCUGGCAGGCAAACAGCACAGGCCAUUCAGUCCCAGAGCGGCUUUACGUACGCGCGGCCGAAGCCAAGGCCGAAGCGUGUUCGUUGUCCCGGACGUGCUGGUUCACAGGCAGCCUGGUGAGUUCAGACGCGACGACUGGGUACACGAAAGGUGGGAUGGGGACACGUGUUUCCCAUCAGUACAUCCGCCCCUGCUCACACCGCUACCUCUCCAUUCCACCAUCCAGAUGGAUGUUGCCUGGGAUGAUCUGUCUUUCGUCCAGCUGGAGCUCUCCCAGCGGGCCAGCGGUGGCGUCACCCACGCGGGUGGUCCCGCUGGGUCUCAGCUGGGGCUGGGGCCACUGCCAGUCUCAAAACAGACCCUCUGCGCCAACUCCCAGGCUCCCCAGGCGGCCUCCACGGACUGGCACACCCCCGCGCCCCUCCAAUUGCAGAAGAAACUCCUAA
rnacentral:lncRNA from 1 species